rnacentral:rRNA from 1 species
UACGGAGGGUGCAAGCGUUAUCCGGAUUUACUGGGUUUAAAGGGUGCGUAGGUGGGCAGGUAAGUCAGUGGUGAAAUCUUUGGGCUUAACCCGAAAACUGCCAUUGAUACUAUUUGUCUUGAAUAUUGUGGAGGUCAGCGGAAUAUGUCAUGUAGCGGUGAAAUGCUUAGAUAUGACAUAGAACACCAAUUGCGAAGGCAGCUGGCUACACAUAUAUUGACACUGAAUGCACGAAAGCGUGGGGAUCAAACAGG